rnacentral:ncRNA from 1 species
AAAAUUUUUUUUUUAAAGUUUGAUUCUUGCUUUUUUGUUAAUUUUUAUUUAAGAUUAUAUGUAUUUUUUUUAAUUUUUAAUUUUCAGUAAUUAAUUUUAUUAAAUAAAUUUAUUUUUAUUUAGUUAUUAUAAUUAGGAUGGAUUAAUUUUGUGCCAGCAUUCGCGGUUACACAAUUUAUUCAAGUUAAUUUUUUAGGAAAAUAAUUAUUUAAUUUAUUAAGUUAAAAUUUUGUUAUUUAGGUGGAAUUUAUAUUUUUAUAUUUUCUUUAAUUUUAUUAUUAUGAGAUUUAAAUAUUAAACUAGGAUUAGAUACCCUAUUAUUUUUUAUAUAAAGAUAUUUCCUGAAUAUUAAUAGUUAUGUUCUUUAAACUCAAAGAAUUUGGCGGUAAUUUAUCUUUUUAGAGGAACCUGAUUUUUAAUUGAUAAACCACGAUAGAUCCAACCUUUAAUACUAUAUUUGUAUACCUCUAUAUAUAGAAAAUCUUUAAAGAGUUAUAAUUUUCUUUAUCUUUAUAGAUUAAUAUUAGGUCAAGGUGCAGUUUUGUUAAGGUUAAAUUGGGUUACUUAAAUUUUAAAUAUAUAAUUUUAUAAUAAUUUUUUUUGUGAUUAAGUUAGGAUUUAAUAGUAAUUUUAAUUAAUUAAUUAAUUUGAAUUUAGCUCUGAAUUAUGUACAUAUCGCCCGUCACUCCCAAUAAUAUGGGAUAAGUCGUAACAAAGUAGUUGUACCGGAAGGUGUAGCUAGAAAGUUAA